GCGUAUCCAACCUUCCGUACACUCAGGGAUAGCCUUUCGAAAGAAAGAUUAAUACCUGAUGGUAUCUUAAGCACACAUGUAAUUAAGAUUAAAGAUUCAUCGGUGUACGAUGGGGAUGCGUUCCAUUAGGUAGUAGGCGGGGUAACGGCCCACCUAGCCUACGAUGGAUAGGGGUUCUGAGAGGAAGGUCCCCCACAUUGGAACUGAGACACGGUCCAAACUCCUACGGGAGGCAGCAGUGAGGAAUAUUGGUCAAUGGACGAGAGUCUGAACCAGCCAAGUGGCGUGAAGGAUGAAGGUCCUACGGACUGUAAACUUCUUUUAUAAGGGAAUAAACCCUCCCACGUGUGGGAGCUUGUAUGUACCUUAUGAAUAAGCAUCGGCUAACUCCGUGCCAGCAGCCGCGGUAAUACGGAGGAUGCGAGCGUUAUCCGGAUUUAUUGGGUUUAAAGGGAGCGCAGACGGGUCGUUAAGUCAGCUGUGAAAGUUUGGGGCUCAACCUUAAAAUUGCAGUUGAUACUGGCGUCCUUGAGUGCGGUUGAGGUGUGCGGAAUUCGUGGUGUAGCGGUGAAAUGCUUAGAUAUCACGAAGAACUCCGAUUGCGAAGGCAGCACACUAAGCCGUAACUGACGUUCAUGCUCGAAAGUGUGGGUAUCAAACAGGAUUAGAUACCCUGGUAGUCCACACGGUAAACGAUGGAUACUCGCUGUUGGCGAUAUACUGUCAGCGGCUUAGCGAAAGCGUUAAGUAUCCCACCUGGGGAGUAC
rnacentral:rRNA from 1 species